rnacentral:rRNA from 1 species
UACGGAGGGUGCAAACGUUGCUCGGAAUCAUUGGGCGUAAAGCGCACGUAGGCGGCCUGUUAAGUCGGAUGUGAAAGCCCCGGGCUCAACCCGGGAAGUGCAUACGAAACUGGCAGGCUUGAAUAUGGAAGAGGGUCGCGGAAUUCCCGGUGUAGAGGUGAAAUUCGUAGAUAUCGGGAGGAACACCAGUGGCGAAGGCGGCGACCUGGGCCAAUAUUGACGCUGAGGUGCGAAAGCGUGGGGAGCAAACAG